GCAGAGCACUCCGUACGGGAGGCAGCAGUGGGGAAUAUUGCACAAUGGGCGCAAGCCUGAUGCAGCCAUGCCGCGUGUAUGAAAGAAGGCCUUCGGGUUGUAAAGUACUUUCAGCAGUGAGGAAGGGUGGGUAUGUUAAUAGCAUAUUCAUUUGACGUUAGCUGCAGAAGAAGCACCGGCUAACUCCGUGCCAGCAGCCGCGGUAAUACGGAGGGUGCGAGCGUUAAUCGGAAUUACUGGGCGUAAAGCGCAUGCAGGUGGUUUGUUAAGUCAGAUGUGAAAGCCCGGGGCUCAACCUCGGAAUUGCAUUUGAAAACUGGCAAACUAGAGUACUGUAGAGGGGGUAGAAUUUCAGGUGUAGCGGUGAAAAUGCGUAGAGAUCUGAAGGAAUACCGGUGGCGAAGGCGGCCCCCUGGACAGAUACUGACACUCAGAUGCGAAAGCGUGGGGAGCAAACAGGAUUAGAUACCCCGGUAG
rnacentral:rRNA from 1 species